rnacentral:rRNA from 1 species
AGCGUACACGGUGGAUGCCCUGGCAGUCAGAGGCGAUGAAGGACGUGCUAAUCUGCGAAAAGCGUCGGUAAGGUGAUAUGAACCGUUAUAACCGGCGAUGUCCGAAUGGGGAAACCCAGUGUGAUUCGUCACACUAUCGUUAACUGAAUACAUAGGUUAACGAGGCGAACCGGGGGAACUGAAACAUCUAAGUACCCCGAGGAAAAGAAAUCAACCGAGAUUCCCCCAGUAGCGGCGAGCGAACGGGGAGCAGCCCAGAGUCUGAAUCAGCUUGUGUGUUAGUGGAACGGUCUGGAAAGUCCGACGGUACAGGGUGAUAGUCCCGUACACCAAAAUGCACAGGCUGUGAACUCGAAGAGUAGGGCGGGACACGUGGUAUCCUGUCUGAAUAUGGGGGGACCAUCCUCCAAGGCUAAAUACUCCUGACUGACCGAUAGUGAACCAGUACCGUGAGGGAAAGGCGAAAAGAACCCCGGCGAGGGGAGUGAAAAAGAACCUGAAACCGUGUACGUACAAGCAGUGGGAGCACCUUCGGGUGUGACUGCGUACCUUUUGUAUAAUGGGUCAGCGACUUAUAUUCUGUAGCAAGGUUAACCGUAUAGGGGAGCCGCAGGGAAACCGAGUCUUAACUGGGCGUUAAGUUGCAGGGUAUAGACCCGAAACCCGGUGAUCUAGCCAUGGGCAGGUUGAAGGUUGGGUAACACUAACUGGAGGACCGAACCGACUAAUGUUGAAAAAUUAGCGGAUGACUUGUGGCUGGGGGUGAAAGGCCAAUCAAACCGGGAGAUAGCUGGUUCUCCCCGAAAGCUAUUUAGGUAGCGCCUCGUGAACUCAUCUUCGGGGGUAGAGCACUGUUUCGGCUAGGGGGUCAUCCCGACUUACCAACCCGAUGCAAACUACGAAUACCGAAGAAUGUUAUCACGGGAGACACACGGCGGGUGCUAACGUCCGUCGUGAAGAGGGAAACAACCCAGACCGCCAGCUAAGGUCCCAAAGUCAUGGUUAAGUGGGAAACGAUGUGGGAAGGCACAGACAGCCAGGAUGUUGGCUUAGAAGCAGCCAUCAUUUAAAGAAAGCGUAAUAGCUCACUGGUCGAGUCGGCCUGCGCGGAAGAUGUAACGGGGCUAAACCAUGCACCGAAGCUGCGGCAGCGACACUAUGUGUUGUUGGGUAGGGGAGCGUUCUGUAAGCCUGCGAAGGUGUGCUGUGAGGCAUGCUGGAGGUAUCAGAAGUGCGAAUGCUGACAUAAGUAACGAUAAAGCGGGUGAAAAGCCCGCUCGCCGGAAGACCAAGGGUUCCUGUCCAACGUUAAUCGGGGCAGGGUGAGUCGACCCCUAAGGCGAGGCCGAAAGGCGUAGUCGAUGGGAAACAGGUUAAUAUUCCUGUACUUGGUGUUACUGCGAAGGGGGGACGGAGAAGGCUAUGUUAGCCGGGCGACGGUUGUCCCGGUUUAAGCAUGUAGGCUGGUUGUCCAGGCAAAUCCGGAUAAUCAAGGCUGAGGUGUGAUGACGAGGCACUACGGUGCUGAAGUAACAAAUGCCCUGCUUCCAGGAAAAGCCUCUAAGCAUCAGGUAACAUCAAAUCGUACCCCAAACCGACACAGGUGGUCAGGUAGAGAAUACCAAGGCGCUUGAGAGAACUCGGGUGAAGGAACUAGGCAAAAUGGUGCCGUAACUUCGGGAGAAGGCACGCUGGUGUGUAGGUGAAGUCCCUGCGGAUGGAGCUGAGACCAGUCGAAGAUACCAGCUGGCUGCAACUGUUUAUUAAAAACACAGCACUGUGCAAACACGAAAGUGGACGUAUACGGUGUGACGCCUGCCCGGUGCCGGAAGGUUAAUUGAUGGGGUUAUCCGUAAGGAGAAGCUCUUGAUCGAAGCCCCGGUAAACGGCGGCCGUAACUAUAACGGUCCUAAGGUAGCGAAAUUCCUUGUCGGGUAAGUUCCGACCUGCACGAAUGGCGUAAUGAUGGCCAGGCUGUCUCCACCCGAGACUCAGUGAAAUUGAACUCGCUGUGAAGAUGCAGUGUACCCGCGGCAAGACGGAAAGACCCCGUGAACCUUUACUAUAGCUUGACACUGAACAUUGAGCCUUGAUGUGUAGGAUAGGUGGGAGGCUUUGAAGCGUGGACGCCAGUCUGCGUGGAGCCAACCUUGAAAUACCACCCUUUAAUGUUUGAUGUUCUAACGUUGGCCCCUGACCGGGGUUGCGGACAGUGUCUGGUGGGUAGUUUGACUGGGGCGGUCUCCUCCCAAAGCGUAACGGAGGAGCACGAAGGUUAGCUAAUCCUGGUCGGACAUCAGGAGGUUAGUGCAAUGGCAUAAGCUAGCUUGACUGCGAGCGUGACGGCGCGAGCAGGUGCGAAAGCAGGUCAUAGUGAUCCGGUGGUUCUGAAUGGAAGGGCCAUCGCUCAACGGAUAAAAGGUACUCCGGGGAUAACAGGCUGAUACCGCCCAAGAGUUCAUAUCGACGGCGGUGUUUGGCACCUCGAUGUCGGCUCAUCACAUCCUGGGGCUGAAGUAGGUCCCAAGGGUAUGGCUGUUCGCCAUUUAAAGUGGUACGCGAGCUGGGUUUAGAACGUCGUGAGACAGUUCGGUCCCUAUCUGCCGUGGGCGCUGGAGAAUUGAGGGGGGCUGCUCCUAGUACGAGAGGACCGGAGUGGACGCAUCACUGGUGUUCGGGUUGUCAUGCCAAUGGCACUGCCCGGUAGCUAAAUGCGGAAGAGAUAAGUGCUGAAAGCAUCUAAGCACGAAACUUGCCCCGAGAUGAGUUCU